rnacentral:misc_RNA from 1 species
UGGAAGUAAAAGUCGUAACAAGGUUUCCGUAGGUGAACCUGCGGAAGGAUCAUUAAAAAAUGAGACCCAUUUAAGGGGUCUAUUAAUAAUCCUACCCUUUGUGAAUUUGUUUGUUUUUUAAUUUGUGUCUUUCCCUGUUUUUUGAUGCGAGGCUUGUUUAAAAAGCAAAAUCAAAUGCAGGGGAAUGGCAAAACCUUUUUUUAAAAAUUAAACAUUUUGUAUUCAUUUGUCUAAAAAUUAUUUUUAUAAUAUAAAAACAACUUUUGACAAUGGAUCUCUUGGUUCUCGCCAACGAUGAAGAACGGCAGCAAAAUGCGAUAAGUAAUGUGAAUUGCCAGAAUACGUGAAUCAUCGAAUCUUCGAACGCAUAUUGCACUUUUUUGGUUUACCAAAAAAGUAAUCGUCUGUUUGAGUAUCAGUAAAAUAUUCUCAUAAAAAACUUUUGUUUUUUAUGGUUAUGAGUGUUUUACAACGAUAAACAAGUUGUUUCACUUUAAAUUCUUUGUCUUUUAAAAAUCAUUUAAAAACUGAUUUUUUUUAAAAUUGGAUAAAAUUUUCCUGUAAAAAGGAAUAACCUAAACAAUUUUAAUAAAUGAAUUAGUUUGAUUUUUUAAAAAAGAUCAAAAGGAAAAAAAAGUAAAAAUUAACUUGAUCUCAAAUCAGAUAAGAGUACCCGCUGAACCUAAGCAUAUCAAUAAGCGGAGGAAAAGAAACUAACUAGGAUUCCCUCAGUAACGGCGAGUGAAGCGGGAAGAGCUCAAAUUUGAAAUCUUCAAGGUUCUACCUUGACGAAUUGUAGUUUAAAGAAGUGUUUUCUGUUGGAGUUUUGGUAGAAAGUUCUUUGGAAUAGGACAUCAUAGAGGGUGAGAAUCCCGUAUUUGACCAUUAUUUCCAACUCUGUGAUACACUUUCAAAGAGUCGGAUUGUUUGGGAAUGCAGUCCAAAAUGGGUGGUAAAUUUCAUCUAAAGCUAAAUACUGGCGAGAGACCGAUAGCCGACAACAUAGCUCACCGCCCCGUGAGGGAAAGAUGAAAAGAACUUUGAAAAGAGAGUUAAACAGUACGUGAAAUUGUCAAAAGGGAAGCGUUCGACACCAGUGUUGUUUUCUCGAAAAUCAAUUAAAAAUGGCGGGAUGUUGUGUUGUAUUGACUUUAUCAGCUUUCUGCACUUUUUUCCUUGUCUUUUUAAUGCACUUUUCGUUUAAGCAAGUCAACAUCAAUUUCUUUUGUUGUAAAAGAGUCAUUGGAAGGUGGCUUUCUUUUCGGAGAAAGUGUUUAUAGCCUUUGGCUUCCGCAAUCGGAGAGAUUGAGGUCUGCAGCGUAGAUCCUUCGGGGUUAGAUACAUUUGUGGCUAAGUUAUAGCCUUUCAUAGACAACUUGUUGACUAUGAUCAGUCAUGUAGGCUU